rnacentral:rRNA from 1 species
UACGGAGGGUGCGAGCGUUGUCCGGAAUCACUGGGCGUAAAGGGCGCGUAGGCGGCGCGGUUAGUCGGCGGUGGAAGCCCGAGGCUCAACUUCGGGUCGGCCGUCGAUACUGCUGCGCUGGAGCACUGUAGAGGCAGAUGGAAUUCCGGGUGUAGCGGUGGAAUGCGUAGAGAUCCGGAAGAACACCGGUGGCGAAGGCGGUCUGCUGGGCAGUUGCUGACGCUGAUGCGCGACAGCGUGGGGAGCAAACAGG